GCGCGAAUUAACCCCGUCACCCCGCCAUUGUCGCCGCGCACUUCGGGGCCGGCCACAAAGGCGCCAGAAAGCCCCGCCGCGCUCGGAGGAAUGCAGACAUGUUCGCAGCGCUCAGAAGAAAAGUGAUCCUGAACUGAUGAAGCAGAUGAAUUAGGGGUGAUUAUUCUCGUCACAAAAGGAUGCGCUACGGGGAUUCUGUAAGUGUGUCUUGUGUCUCUGCUUGUCUGAUGUCUGCCCUCCCACCGGAGUGUCAGUCAAGGCCAGGGUCUGGGGCUGUCUUGUCUGUUGGCUUCUCAGCACCUUAUCCAGAGGCUAGUGCCCGGCGGGGGCUCCGUAAGGAUUUGGCAAAGUAAUCACUGGCCCUCGAUGUUCCAACAGACUUGUUUCAGGCUGGCGUGCUGGCUGGCGCAGAAGGCAAAGAGAGUGGUGGCACGUCACCCUCCGGUGCGAACAGCGCCAGGAUCGGGACUUGCUUGCUGUGGAUGCCGUGAUGGGGACACGGUCACCGGCGACUGGCCCCAGCAGUUCUCACAAGCUGUCUCGGCCACGUGGUUUGGGUCUCUAAAGAAAGCAGAGCUGCAAAAGGAAAUGAAGACGCUCGGACAGGCUGUGAGCUCCUUAAGGUGGAGAUUUUGAUUUGCAUGUUAAUGGCAAACAUUUAUUGAGCAGGGGUCCCAGUCACUAAGCAUUUUCAUGGUCUAAUCCUCGGAACAGCUGUGGUGGAGAGACUGCCCCAGUGGCCCCAUUCCCUGUAACCACGUACUUUGCGAUGUGACUUUGUGCCUCCUCCCCUCAAGGUGAGAAGUUGGGUUCUCAUCCCAGGAGGCUGAGGUGGCCUGGGGACUUGCUUUGACCGAUAGAACGCAACAGAAAUGAGGAUGUGCUGGUUCUGAGCUUAGACCUCGAGGGACCAUCUGAACUUCUGCUCCCUCUUAUAGCCAUGUCUCUGCCAUGAGAACAAGCCUGAGCUGGCCUCCUAGAGCUGUGGUCCCCACCCCCUGGGCCAUGGACCACUUGUUCCUGGUGCCAAAAUGGCUAGGGACUGCUGUUCUAGAGGAUGAGUGAUCACGUGGACAGAACAGUCAUUCCAGCUGAGUCAGCCCCCAGCCAAGCCACCAGUUGGUUGACUGCAGACCUUCCCAACUGACCAUAGCUUUGUGGGCCAUCAGAAAUAGUUACUGUUUUAAGCCAUUGAAUUUUUUGGGAAGGGGACGGUUUGUUACACAGCAAUAGCUAACUGAUACAACAGUCAACCUACCAGUCUUAUGGAUGAGGAAAGUUUCAGAGAUAUUAAGUAAUUUGUCUAAGGUCAUGGAACUAUUUAGUGGUGGAGUGACGGUUUAAAGUCACGCAGUCCAACCCCAAAGUCCUGGCUCUAACCCUCUACACAUAUUGCCUCUGCAUUCCUGUGACAGUACGCGACUUGGCAUGUAGUAGGUGCUUAGUUAAUGUUACUUGAAUGAAUGCUUUACUAUUUUAAACAGAUCUUUACCAAACAAUGGCAAGAGCUGAGUAGAGGAAUUGUGGAUUUUUUAAAAAAUUAACCUCUGUAUAUAUUUGUUUUCAAAAGAAAACCCACAGAAGUAUUAUUCAUAAAAACAAUACACAGAGCUCAGAAGAGGAGAGAAUAAGGCUGGUCUUGGGUAGGAACAGAACUGAUAAUUCCUCCCACGAUGAUGUCAAGGGCAGGUGGCAAAGCUUACCUUUCUGGAAUCUUCCUAGUGCUCUGUCUGUCCCUCUCAAAGGAUAGAUUCUCACCCCAGCCUCUCAAAUUCUCUGUUCUAGGGAUCCAGAAAUCAACACUCAAUUUCCCCAUAGAUCCAAGAGCAUCCUGGGAAGUCCAAUGACCAGGGC